rfam:Oryza rufipogon genomic scaffold, chr01
AAAAAGACAAAUAUUAGGUUUAUGUAUCCAACGUUCGUUGAUCGUCCGUCUUAUUUAAAAAAAUUAUAAAAAAAAUUAAAAAGAUAAGUCACGUAUAAAAUAUUAAUUAUGUUUUAUCAUCUAACAACAAUGAAAAUACUAAUUAUAAAAAAUUUUAUAUAAGACGGACAGUCAAACGUUGGACAUGAAAAUUCAGGGUUUGUCUUUUU